UACGUAGGGGGGCAAGCGUUGUCCGGAUUUAUUGGGCGUAAAGAGCGUGUAGGCGGCCAGGUAGGUCGGUUGUGAAAACUCGAGGCUCAACCUCGAGAUGUCGACCGAAACCAUCUGGCUAGAGUCCGGAAGAGGAGAAUGGAAUUCCCGGUGUAGCGGUGAAAUGCGCAGAUAUCGGGAAGAACACCCGUGGCGAAGGCGGUUCUCUGGGACGGUACUGACGCUGAGACGCGAAAGCGUGGGGAGCGAACAGG
rnacentral:rRNA from 1 species